UAAACACACACCAGCUCUUAUGGACCAGAAGGAGUAUGCGAUGCAGUAAACACACACCAGCUCUAUUAUGGACCAGAAGGAGUAUGAGAUGCAGUAAACACACACCAGCUCUAUUAUGGACCAGAAGGAGUAUGAGAUGCAGUAAACACACACCAGCUCUAUUAUGGACCAGAAGGAGUAUGAGAUGCUGUAAACACACACCAGCUCUAUUAUGGACCAGAAGGAGUAUGAGAUGCUGUAAACACACACCAGCUCUAUUAUGGACCAGAAGGAGUAUGAGAUGCAGUAAACACACACCAGCUCUAUUAUGGUCUAUUAUGGACCAGAAGGAGUAUGAGAUGCAGUAAACACACACCAGCUCUAUUAUGGACCAGAAGGAGUAUGAGAUGCAGUAAACACACACCAGCUCUAUUAUGGUCUAUUAUGGACCAGAAGGAGUAUGAGAUGCUGUAAACACACACCAGCUCUAUUAUGGUCUAUUAUGGACCAGAAGGAGUAUGAGAUGCUGUAAACACACACCAGCUCUAUUAUGGUCUAUUAUGGACCAGAAGGAGUAUGAGAUGCUGUAAACACACACCAGCUCUAUUAUGGACCAGAAGGAGAAUGAGAUGCUGGAAACACACACCAGCUCUAUUAUGGUCUAUUAUGGACCAGAAGGAGUAUGAGAUGCUGUAAACACACACCAGCUCUAUUAUGGACCAGAAGGAGAAUGAGAUGCUGGAAACACACACCAGCUCUAUUAUGGUCUAUUAUGGUCCAGAAGGAGUAUGAGAUGCAGUAAACACACACCAGCUCUAUUAUGGACCAGAAGGAGUAUGAGAUGCUGUAAACACACACCAGCUCUAUUAUGGACCAGAAGGAGAAUGAGAUGCAGUAAACACACACCAGCUCUAUUAUGGACCAGAAGGAGUAUGAGAUGCAGUAAACACACACCAGCUCUAUUAUGGACCAGAAGGAGAAUGAGAUGCAGUAAACACACACCAGCUCUAUUAUGGACCAGAAGGAGAAUGAGAUGCAGUAAACACACACCAGCUCUAUUAUGGACCAGAAGGAGUAUGAGAUGCAGUAAACACACACCAGCUCUAUUAUGGACCAGAAGGAGUAUGAGAUGCUGUAAACACACACCAGCUCUAUUAUGGACCAGAAGGAGUAUGAGAUGCUGUAAACACACACCAGCUCUAUUAUGCUCUAUUAUGGACCAGAAGGAGUAUGAGAUGCAGUAAACACACACCAGCUCUAUUAUGGUCUAUUAUGGACCAGAAGGAGUAUGAGAUGCUGUAAACACACACCAGCUCUAUUAUGGUCUAUUAUGGACCAGAAGGAGAAUGAGAUGCUGGAAACACACACCAGCUCUAUUAUGGACCAGAAGGAGUAUGAGAUGCAGUAAACACACACCAGCUCUAUUAUGGACCAGAAGGAGUAUGAGAUGCAGUAAACACACACCAGCUCUAUUAUGGACCAGAAGGAGUAUGAGAUCUGAUGUUUGCGGACAGGGAAUGACUGAAGAUGUUCCAUAUGAAGAAGAAAGAACAUGCUCUCAUCACUUUGUCUCCCAAUAAGUUUUGUGAAUAGGUUGACUUGCUUACCUUCUGGCACUACUAGUUUUUAUGAAUGUGCUUGAGGUGAUAACCUCUGCAUUUGUUGGAUUUUUAAAGUAUGAGCAUUUUGAAUAUGAACGGGCAAAUGAUUUAUUUCAGAAGAAAUAAAUCCAACUGUUUUUAAUGUCGAA